rnacentral:tRNA from 1 species
GCCGGGGUGGCGGAAUGGUAGACGCAACGGACUUAAAAUCCGUUGGCCCUAGGGCCGUGCGGGUUCGAGUCCCGCCCCCGGUA